GCAAGGCAGACAGCUGGGCCGGGAGCAACUGCAGCCACUCAAUGCCAGCCUGCUCUGGAAUCCAGUUUUAAUCUGCAUUUGUCCAGUCCCUUGGAUGGACACAGCAUGGCCACCACUUCAAAUGUGGAGAAAAGGAAAAAUGAAGAGAAGGAAAAUCAGCAGCCAUGGAGUUUAUCAGUGCUGAGGUCCAUUUCCACAAUGUGUCUUCCAAGCCCUGAGGAAAAACGUGCUAUGAGAACCAAAUAAUUUCUCUUCAGUGAGGCAAUGUUACAGACAUGAUCAUUGCAUAAGGCUAAGAGCAGACUCUUUCCUUUUGCCAUCGAUGGACUCCUGUUCUCUCUAAAGAAAAAGGUUUACCUCCCUGGGAUCUUUAAGGCCUUGAGAAGGAAGAUUCCUUCUGGCGUGGGCUCUCUCUCAAGCUAGCCGAGGCUAAAAUGAAGCACGGCCUCCAAGGGAGAGAUAGAGCCGCUUCAAAGAUUGAUUCCAGCAUUUACCCAGCUGCAUGGAAGAGGCACAAG